rnacentral:lncRNA from 1 species
GACAUCAGGGCAGGAGCUGGCGUGAGCUGCAUAGCACACACGGCCGCCACUGAAGAACACCACAUUGGCAGAACCAAUGGUAUCAGCCAGGCCCAGGACCCCCAGAACCUGGUCCCUAGGACAGCAGAGCAAUCAAGGGAAGGGAUUCCGCUGCAACCCAGCAGCUGGUCACAAAUUGAAAGUGGAGCAAGCAGCACAAUCAAAGGAAAAGUAGCUUCCAGAUCUCUCUGCCAGGACUGAGGUCGCCCACGGAAAACCCUGGAGGAGGAGAGACUGAGGGAGGAGGGCACAUGGAGGGCGGAAGCGAGGCAUCUCAGGACCUACUGCAGGUCCCCAAGUCCAGUCCCAGUGAUGACGCUGCCUCACUCUCCUUCAGCUUUUUGGGGAUACCACGUACAUCGCCCUUCUGGGCCCCAGGGUCAAGCUGAUGCUGCGUCUACGGAGCUGUGUUUCCGCGCAGCAUGUGGGCCUUCCAAACCUCGUCGGACUGCUCAGCCUUGUUCCUUACCCUCCCCCACCCGAGCGGGCAAAUUAGCGAAAGUGAAGCAAACAGGACGGCAAUGUUCUCUCAGGUCCCUUCCAGAACCAAAACCCCAGAAUCUGAGUGCCAAGGAAAUUGCUCUACCAGAGCAGGGUUCCUCAUCACCCCAGCCCUGGAAUCUGGCUCUGCCAAGAUCCAGAUGAGGCCACCUGGGUGUUCAGCGCUCUCCUCCACCGGCCUCGCUUAUGGGCCCUCGGCAAGGUGAGCUCCACAUGCGUGGCCAGCCCCACUGGUCGGAGGCCAAGCCUGGGAGGUUUCUGAACGCGC